rnacentral:rRNA from 1 species
CCUACGGGAGGCAGCAGUGGGGAAUAUUGCACAAUGGGCGAAAGCCUGAUGCAGCAACGCCGCGUGAGCGAUGAAGGCCUUCGGGUCGUAAAGCUCUGUCCUCAAGGAAGAUAAUGCCGGUACUGGAGGAGGAAGCCCCGGCUAACUACGUGCCAGCAGCCGCGGUAAUACGUAGCGGGCUAGCGUUAUCCGGAAUUACUGGGCGUAAAGGGUGCGUAGGUGGUUUCUUAAGUCAGAGGUGAAAGGCUAGGGCUCAACCGUAGUAAGCCUUUGAAACUGGGAAACUUGAGUGCAGGAGAGGAGAGUGGAAGUCCUAGUGUAGCGGUGAAAUGCGUAGAUAUUAGGAGGAACACCAGUUGCGAAGGCGGCUCUCUGGACUGUAACUGACACUGAGGCACGAAAGCGUGGGGAGCAAACAGGAUUAGAUACCCCUGUAGUC